AAGGGAGGGAAAAGGAAGUGAGUGUGCCAGACCCCGCCCCCAGCCCAUAUGACCCUGGGGGUUGCUCCUGCCUGGAAAGAGGCUCAGCUCAGAGACUGUAGAGCAGCGGUGCUGACAGGAGAGCAGAGGGCCUGUGCAGCAGCUGAAGCCCUUCUCCACAGAGGAGGAACAGAGCCAGCAGCAGAGACCUCGCAGCUCCUCUCAGCCCCUUCACUGGCCCAUCCUCCUAUGUGAGAGCCUGCUCGCAGAAUCUCCUUGCCACUGCUCAAGUCCCUACGGAACAAGCGAGGCCCAGUGCUGCUGAAGGAUCGGUCGCUCCUCUUCCUGGAAGUCAGUAUUCUCCUAGCACUCUUCAG